rnacentral:rRNA from 1 species
UACGAAGGGGGCUAGCGUUGUUCGGAUUUACUGGGCGUAAAGGGCGCGUAGGCGGCCACCGCAAGUCAAUUGUGAAAUCUCCGGGCUUAACUCGGAAAGGUCAACUGAUACUGCGGGGCUAGAGUGCGGAAGGGGCAACUGGAAUUCUCGGUGUAGCGGUGAAAUGCGUAGAUAUCGAGAGGAACACCGGUGGCGAAGGCGGCCUUCUGGACAGUGACUGGCGCUGAGACGCGAAAGCGUGGGGAGCAAACAGG